ensembl:snRNA U6 U6 spliceosomal RNA
UGCUUGCUUCAGUAGCACAAUAAUAAAACUGUAAUGAUACAGAGACAAUUAGCAUGGCUGCUGCGUAAGGAUGAAAGGAAAAAGAAAAAAACACACAAAACUUUA